GGCCUACGGGAGGCAGCAGUGGGGAAUUUUGGACAAUGGGGGAAACCCUGAUCCAGCAAUCCGCGCUGUGUGAAGAAAGGCCUUCGGGUUGUAAAGCACUUUUGUCCGGAAAGAAA
rnacentral:rRNA from 1 species